rnacentral:rRNA from 1 species
AUUGAACGCUGGCGGCAGGCCUAACACAUGCAAGUCGAACGAGUGGCGGACGGGUGAGUAAUGUCUGAGAAACUGCCUGAUGGAGGGGGAUAACUACUGUAAACGUUAGCUAAUAUCGCAUACCACCGGAUGUGCCCAGAUGGGAUUAGCUAGUAGGUGGGGUAAAGGUUCACCUAGGCGACGGUCCAUACCCGGUCUGAGAAGAUGACCAGCCACACUAGAACCGAGACCCGGUCCAGACGCCUACGGGAGGCAGCAGUGGGGAAUAUUGCGCAAUGGGAGCAAGCCUGAUGCAGCCAUGCCGCGUGUAUGAAGAAGGCCUUCGGGUUGUAAAGUACUUUCAGCGGGGAGGCGUUACCCGCAGAAGAAGCACAGGCUAACUCCGUGCCAGCAGCCGCGGUAAUUC